rnacentral:rRNA from 1 species
AAUUUAUUUAUUAAGGAAUAUAUUUAUUAAGCAAUCCUAAGGUAAAUCUUUAUUAUAAAACACUUCCUGAAGUAAAACAUUUUAUUAAGGAAAGGAAAGGAAAUCAACCGAGACUUCGAAAGUAAUGGUGAGUGAAAUCGAAUUAGCCAAUUAUCGAGUUUAUAUAUAAAAAAUAUAUUAAUUUUUAGCAAUAAAAAUUUAACUAUAAAAAGGUUAAUAAUAGUCCUUAUAUUAAUAUAAACUCCUUGUUCUGCGUACUUAAAAAUUUAAAUAAAUUUUUUAAGGCGUACGCAAUAACAAGCACUUAAUUGUUUUUAGGUGGAUAGCUUGUUUUUAUGUACAUAACUGCCAAUCGCGUAGCGACUGUACAGCACUUGCUAUACAGCAGCAACCGUAGGCUGUUAAAUUAAUAAGAAUAAUAAGUACAAUGAGAGUUAACUUGUUGGAAUAAAGGGGUACCAUCCUCUAAGGCUAAGUAUUAUAAAUUUAGCGAUAGUGCAAAAGUACUGUGAAGGAAAAGUUUGAAAAGCAUGUAGUAUACAUAUAUUUUAAUUUAAAUUAAAAAAUGGUGAAAUAGAUCUUGAAUUAGUAAUUCUAUAAGCAGUCGAAAUUCUUAACAUUAAUUGUUAGUAGAAUAACGGCGUACCUUUUGCAUAAUGGGUCAGCAAGUUAAUAGAAGUAGCAAGGUUCAUAGCCUUAGCGAAAGCGACUAUACUUCGUAGCCUAGCCGUACGGCAGGCAGUAAUGGGUAAGUUACUUCUAUUAGACCCGAAGCCAGGUGAUCUUACCAAGACCAGAUUAUAAUGGAUCGAACGGUUGAAUGUUGCAUAAUUCUCCGAUGAGUUUUGGUAAGUGGUGAAAUGCCAAUCUAACCUGGUGCUAGCUGGUUUUCUACCGAAACAUAUUUUAGUAUGAUGUCUACCUAAGAGAUUUAUGGAGGUACAGCAAGGCAAUUCCCAACAAAAUAACUUUAGUAGCGGAUAGCCUGCCUUCACGUACGUGAAUACGGCAGGCAGGCAAUUCGAACAAAAAGUUAAUGCGUUUAGGUUGCGGGGAUCUAGCAAAUCUUACCUUUGGAAGUGAAUCUCGGAAUUACAUAAAUUGAUAGUAGAUAUUCAGACUGUACAUGCUAAGUUGGACAGUCAAGACGGAAACAGCCGAGAACACUAAUCAAGGUCCCAAAUGAUUGUUAAGUGAAAUUAAGGACGUAGCAAUAUCAAAUACAGCUGUGAAGUGAGCCUGGCAGUCGCUACUUAUAAUGAACGUUUGUAACAACGCAACAGCAGCCAAAAAAGAUAGUCGCGCCGAAAAUUCAACGGGUCUAAACAAUCAACCGAUAUUGUGUUGAUUAAGAUAUUUUUUUAAUUAAUCGCUAAUUUAUUCUUAAUCUAGGUAGUAGAACAUUCAGUAUAACUGUUGAAAUUAUAGUGUUUCAUUAUAUAUUAGGUUACUGAAGAGAGAAUGCUGACAUGAGUAACGUAAAAAAUUCCUAUAAUGGAAUUCGCCGAAUACGAAAGGGUUACAAUAGAAAGGUUGAUCCUCUUUGUGUUAAUGCGGCCUCUAAGGAAUGUAGCAAUAGCUACUACUGAUGAGUAUAUUAUAGCAAAUCAUUGAAUAGUUGCGCUAGCCUGCAGUCGCUACGCGAGCAGGCAACGUACGUGAGUACGGCACGCUAUAUUAUUUAAUGAUCAGGAAAUUAAUAUAUUGGCUUUAUAUAAAGCUUAGUACUACCGUACCCUAAACCGACACAGGUUCGUUAGUUGAGAAUACUAAGGCGUAGAGCUAAAAGUUGUUAAGGAACUCGGCAAAUUCACCUCAUAAGUUUGACGACAAGAGGUGCCUUAUUAUUUAAAAUAUCACUUGUGCUGCUGCUAACCAAAGGUUACUUUUGCAAGGCAAGCUAGCGAUAAGGCGAUUAAUAAUAAGGUGACACAUAAUCGGAGGCCACGACUGUUUACUAAAAACACAACACAGUGCAAUCAUUAAUGUGAUAGUAUACUGUGUGAAAUUUGCCCAAUGCCAUUAAUAUAAGAACAAUCAUGGUUAGUUAAAAAUAAAAACUAAUAAAACUGUGAUUUAUCGAAAGUCUGGUUAAUAGCGGUCUUAACUAUGAGGAUCCUAAGGUAGCAAAAUAAAUUGGCCAUUAAAUGUGGUCCGGUAUCAAUAAUGUAACGAUGGUCUCGCUGUCUCUACAACUUGCUCAGUGAAAUUGAAUUACGCGUGCAGAUGCGCGUUACCACCAGGGGGACGGGAAGACCCUAUGCAGCUUUACUGUAAUUAGUUAUCAUAUGAAUCUAGAACAGCUUAUAUUAAUAGUGAAUAGGUAAAUCGAAAGAUAUUAGUGGAAACCUUAUAAUAUAAGUUGGGUUUAUGUUCACCUUAAAAUUAAAAUAUAAAGGGAGAGUUGACUAAUUGGCAGUUUGACUGGGGCGGUCGUCUUUAAAAUAGUAGCAAAGUACAUCCAAUUGUUUUUUUCAAAUAAUUUAAUAAAAAUUAAAAUUACAAAUAUCUAUUGAUCGCUACGCUUGCGUUGCAAAAGCUACGCAAGUACGCAACAAAUAGAGUUUUUUCUUUUUAAAAGGCAUAGCUAGAAAUUGAAUGGAGAUCAAUCAACCAGUGAAGGGUUGCGCAGAGUUCAAUGGCGUUAAGCAUGCUUAACUGAUAGACUUAAAAGUCAAACAGAUACGUAAGUAGGGCAUAGUGACCCCUCGCUAUAAUAUGGGAUAGACGGGGAUCAAUUAAUAAAAGUUACGCUAGGGAUAACAGGCUGAUAGCCGACGAGAGUACACAUUGUCUCGGCUGUUUGGCACCUCGAUGUCGACUCAUCCUAUCCUCCGGGGGAAGAAGCUUGGAAGGGUUCGGCUGUUCGCCGAUUAAAAGGGUACGUGAGUUGGGUUUAAUACGACGUGAGUCAGUAUGGUCCCUAUCUUCUGGUGGAAAAUUUAGUAAACAGGGACAGACCUUCCAGUACGAAAGGACCAAUAGGCUGUGUUUAUAUAGUGUACCAAUUGUUUGUAAUCAACUAUUAAUCGCGUAGUCCUUUGGAUCGCUACGCGACGACAAAAUAAAAUAGAUAGAUAUAAAUGCAUAGUUGGGUAGCCACAAACAUAAUAGAUAAGUGCUGAAUGUCUAUAAAGCAAGAAUCUACUCCCUUUAUACUAAUAUAUUGUGCUCGCUACGCGAUUUAAUAGUCGCGUCCGCGAAUUAAAUUAUAGCAACAAUAAUAAUUAAGAAAUAGAACAUUUCUAAAUAGGUUGCAAAUGUAAAUAUUGUAAAAUAUAAAUAGUUUAGCAAUACUAAUUUAUAAAAAAACUAAAGGUU